GAGGGGGCAAGCACCCUGCAGGGAUGAUUUUGCCAACCUCUGUGCUCAAGAGGUUUCUUUCUCACUCACCAUGUACUGUAGAGGACUCUGGAGCCGUAUGGGCUCCUAACCUGGUAACUCAGUUAAGACCCUGAAAUCAGGUCCGCAUUGGCCCGGUUGACAGCCAACCUGCAAAAACAGAGCUCGCGCCCUGCCCUGCUGGGUCUGGUAUAGCUCUGGCAAGCAGAGGAUGAACUGGCACUGUUCUCAGGCCUACUCCUGCUGACCAUGUCUGCAUUGCUAAUUUGGGGAACAAUUUAUCUGAUUCAAACAUGGGAGGCCCUUUUUACUCCGUUGGGCUGAACUGCGAAACCUGGAGCAAAGCAGAGGCAGCCGUGCCAGUCUGGGGUGGCUCAUCGCUUGCAAGAUAGUAGGUGUCACCUGGCAUCCUCCAUCCUUUCUCUCUGCCAUGGAUAUGAGAGCUUCACAUCUGUGGGAAGUGGGAGAGGAGGCAAAAAAGAUUUUCGCUGGAUUGUCCGCAGUCAUUCAGCAUUAUCUCACUUGUACUAAGGAAAGUGCUUUAAGCAGAAAACCAGCUGGUAUCAUUCCUGCGAUGACACUAUUUAUGCCUGAGGACUCUAACUCAGAGGCUCC